UCGCAGAUCUCUAUCUCUGCCUGGUAAGCUUUAUCUAUAUAUUUUGUGCUUUUUUGUUUUCAAGCAUAUCCUUAUCUGCGUAUUUUGUUCCUGAGUGUGUUUCUCUAGUAUUGAUUGAUCCUUGCACUUGGCUAUGGUUUGUGGGCUCUUCUUGUUUUUAUCAGCUUCUUAUCUAAAUUGGUUUUGAUGUGGCCUUAUAUUCUCAAAUUUCUGUUUUUUGGGCUCAAUUUUGAACUGGG
rnacentral:misc_RNA from 1 species